rnacentral:snoRNA from 1 species
UGAUGACAAGUGCAAUUUGCUGAUUACUCUGAGGCUUCACAGCACUUGCCUGUCUGAUU